GACGAACGCUGGCGGCGUGCUUAACACAUGCAAGUCGAACGGAAAGGCCCUGCUUUUGUGGGGUGCUCGAGUGGCGAACGGGUGAGUAACACGUGAGUAACCUGCCCUUGACUUUGGGAUAACUUCAGGAAACUGGGGCUAAUACCGGAUAGGAGCUCCUGCUGCAUGGUGGGGGUUGGAAAGUUUCGGCGGUUGGGGAUGGACUCGCGGCUUAUCAGCUUGUUGGUGGGGUAGUGGCUUACCAAGGCUUUGACGGGUAGCCGGCCUGAGAGGGUGACCGGCCACAUUGGGACUGAGAUACGGCCCAGACUCCUACGGGAGGCAGCAGGGGGGAAUAUUGCACAAUGGGCGGAAGCCUGAUGCAGCAACGCCGCGUGCGGGAUGACGGCCUUCGGGUUGGAAACCGCUUUCGCCUGUGACGAAGCGUGAGUGACGGUAAGGGGUAAAGAAGCACCGGCUAACUACGUGC
rnacentral:rRNA from 1 species